UCGGACGUGGUGUAGGGAACACCCUCGCUCUUGCUACGUGGGACUUGACCAGUGUAACAAGUGCCGGGGUUCGACUCCCCGCGUCCGAG